rnacentral:rRNA from 1 species
ACGGAAGGCAGCAGUGGGGGAUAUUGCACAAUGGGGGAAACCCUGAUGCAGCGACGCCGCGUGAGUGAAGAAGUAUUUCGGUAUGUAAAGCUCUAUCAGCAGGAAAGAUAAUGACGGUACCUGACUAAGAAGCACCGGCUAAAUACGUGCCAGCAGCCGCGGUAAUACGUAUGGUGCAAGCGUUAUCCGGAUUUACUGGGUGUAAAGGGAGCGCAGGCGGUACGGCAAGUCUGAUGUGAAAGCCCGUGGCUCAACUGCGGGACUGCAUUGGAAACUGGAGAACUAGAGUGUCGGAGGGGCAAGUGGAAUUCCUAGUGUAGCGGUGAAAUGCGUAGAUAUUAGGAGGAACACCAGUGGCGAAGGCGGCUUGCUGGACGAUAACUGACGCUGAGGCUCGAAAGCGUGGGGAGCAAACAGGAUUAGAUACCCUGGUA